rnacentral:rRNA from 1 species
AGGACGAACGCUGGCGGCGUGCUUAACACAUGCAAGUCGAGCGACGCUCUCCCUUCGGGGGGAUGACGGAGCGGCGAACGGGUGAGUAACACGUGGGCAACCUGCCCCUAGCUCUGGGACAACACCGGGAAACCGGUGCUAAUACCGGAUACGACAUCGAGCGGCAUCUCUCGAUGUGGAAAGUUUUUUCGGCUAGGGAUGGGCCCGCGGCCUAUCAGCUUGUUGGUGGGGUAAUGGCCCACCAAGGCGACGACGGGUAGCCGGCCUGAGAGGGCGACCGGCCACACUGGGACUGAGACACGGCCCAGACUCCUACGGGAGGCAGCAGUGGGGAAUAUUGCGCAAUGGGCGAAAGCCUGACGCAGCGACGCCGCGUGAGGAUGACGGCCUUCGGGUUGUAAACCUCUUUCAGCGAGGACGAAUUCAGUACGGUACCUGCAGAAGAAGCGACCGGCCAACUACGUGCUAGCAGCCGA